rnacentral:lncRNA from 1 species
AUGGCUUUCGUCUGCAGCUUCCUGCGAGAUCAACACAGAAGCAAAGUCUUCAAGGUUCAUUCAUUCAGCAAGCCCCUGUCCAGCCUUUACUGUGUGCUGAGUGAGAAGCUGGGGAUAAGGAAAGAGCAAGACUCCCAAGAAACUCAUGUCUGGCUGAAAGCCAAAACAUGUCACAACUUUGCUAUAUUUCUCUCCAACAAGGAUUUGUAUAUGUUUGCCUUCUCCUCAAGUAGCACCUGGACCUGCUCCUUUCACUUCGAACACUAAGGGCUCACUCUUCAAGUUUCGUUAUGAAACAGGGUGUACCAUCAGAGACGCAGAGGCAGGGUUUCUCCAUGUUGCCUAGGUUGGUCUCUAACUCCUGGACUCCAGUGAUCCUCUAACCUUGACCUCCCAAAGUGCUGAGAUUACAGGUAUGAGCCGCCAGGCCUGGCCAAGGAUUUCUUAUAAAUACACUCACACAGAUAAAGUUUCAGAAGAUAAAAACACAACUGCAAUUGGAAACUAUUGCCUGGAAAUGUAUGAUAGAUCAAUUAUUAUAAAGGCCUCUGGGACUGGGAUCACACCCCAGAAGUAAUUGUUGCCAAUAAAAUCAUGAGAGCUUUCAAGCAGAAAUUGGAAUUUUGGAAAACUUGAAUCUGAUACCAUGAGCUUGUCAACUUCCUAGUUCUUGAUGCCCCUUUAAAAUUAGGGUA